rnacentral:rRNA from 1 species
GACGAACGCUGGCGGCGUGCUUAACACAUGCAGUUCGAACGGAAAGGCCCUGCUUUUGUGGGUUGCUCGAUUGUCUAACGGUUGAUUAACACGUUCUUAACCUCCCCUUUCCUUUGGGAUAACUUCAGGAAACUGGGGCUAAUUCCGGAUAGUACCUCCUUCUUCUUGUUGGGGUUUGGAAUGUUUCGGCGGUUGGGGAUGGACUCGCGGCUUAUCAGCUUGUUGGUGGGGUAGUGGCUUACCAAGGCUUUGACGGGUAGCCGGCCUGAGAGGGUGACCGGCCACAUUGGGACUGAGAUACGGCCCAGACUCCUACGGGAGGCAGCAGUGGGGAAUAUUGCACAAUGGGCGGAAGCCUGAUGCAGCAACGCCGCGUGAGGGAUGACGGCCUUCGGGUUGUAAACCGCUUUCGCCUGUGACGAAGCGUGAGUGACGGUAAUGGGUAAAGAAGCACCGGCUAACUACGUG